CAGCAAUGCUCCAGUGGCGCAAGGGUGAGGAACACGUGAACAACCUGCCUUCGAGUUGGGGAUAGCGUUACUGGAAACGGGAGAUAAUACCGAAUAACAUCACCGGGUCGCAUGACCUGGUGAUCAAAGCAGCAAUGCGCUUGAAGAGGGGUUCGCGUCCCAUUAGCUAGUUGGUGAGGUAAAGGCCCACCAAGGCGAUGAUGGGUAGCUGGUCUGAGAGGACGAUCAGCCACAUUGGGACUGAGAUACUGCCCAGACUCCUACGGGAGGCUGCAGUCGAGAAUUUUGGGCAAUGGACGAAAGUCUGACCCCAAGGCAAUGCCGCGUGCGGGAUGAAGGUCUUCGGAUUGUAAACCGCUGUCAAGAGGGACGAAAUAUGACGGUACCUCUGGAGGAAGCCACGGCUAACUACGUGCCAGCCGCGGC
rnacentral:rRNA from 1 species